UGACACUGAGUGAUCUAAAUAAUAUGAACCCUAUUCAAUAGAACCUAGUCAACAGCUGAUUUGUAUUGGUCUCUCACAGGUCUGCAAGAUAAGCUUGGUUCUGCAAUGAAUAAACUGGACAAUGUAACUGGAUACAACGACAAACUCGUUCUUGAGGUAUGGACCCUGACUAAUGAGGUAGACGAUCUAAAGAAGAGAACUGUGACUUCUGCAGCUAAGAUCAAUGAGCUCCAAAAGUUGCUGGAUGAGAAGAUCAAAGAACUGGCAAAGAAAACACAGGAACUGGAGGAUAACGCUCCUCAACCAGAGAAUGGUUAGUAGUUUUUAGCCUUUUCCUUUAUAUAGUCUGUUUUCAGCUGAACAGACAGCAUUUACAGUUUAGGUCCAGCCUGCUCAGUAUUUAUCUGUAUAUCAUAUUCCUCAAAUUGUUAAGCUGUUUGUUUGUUGCAGUUCUAAGGAUCAUUGCAAUACAGAAUGAGAUCUUGAACCUGCAAAAAGGAGUUAGCAAUGGGACAAACUUUGACCAGAUUGCUGGUGAGUAGCAGGCGUUCUGAAGAACAUAUGAGUCUCUAUGUGUUCAGCACGUUAGACCAAUACCAAUAGUUAUCAUGUUUCCUCAAAGGGAUAGUCCUUCACUGGUAGAAAUAUAGGAUGGUGUGAUGGCAAUACACUGCAUUUUGCACAUUCAUGGAGUUUUCAAAUCCCAUUAUGCUUGUAACAUUCAAGCUCUUCAAUUAUUCUUGUCCACAGCACUUGAGAAUGAACUGGAUGCGUUGAUUGCCACAAUCGAGGAGAAGAACAAUGGCAACUGUAAACAGAUUCUUCAGAUCAUUGCACUCCAAAAUCAAGUGACAAGAUUGCAGAGGCAAGAGUUCGAGUUCAAUCAGUCAUCUGAGGCCAAGAUUGCUGGUGAGUGCCAUUGUAAUGUUUCUUUAUCCUCAGUACUCUUACAAUUGUGCUGGAAAGUUUAUUAUCCUUAUAUUUACCAUUAAGAGCUUUUUUGUAGGCAUACCGUAUAAUAGAAAACUUUGUGGUGGAAAGAGGAUAACAUUUGAAAUAAUGUGUAUGUCUCAGAGCUAGAGAAUCAGCUACAGGAGACGAGAGACCAGCUGAAUGAAAAGA
rnacentral:lncRNA from 1 species